rfam:Triticum aestivum genome assembly, contig: Triticum_aestivum_CS42_TGACv1_scaffold_161965_2DL
UAGGUAGUCCCUCCAUCCAGAAAUAUUUGUUCUCAAAAUGGAUAAAUUAGAUGUAUCUAUAACUAAAAUAAAUCUAGAUACAUCCAUUUCUAGGACAAGUAUUUCCGGACGGAGGGAGUAUUAA